rnacentral:rRNA from 1 species
UUUGUACGUUAGUCGACAGAAGAAGCACCGGCUAACUCCGUGCCAGCAGCCGCGGUAAUACGGAGGGUGCGAGCGUUAAUCGGAAUUACUGGGCGUAAAGCGCAUGCAGGUGGUUUGUUAAGUCAGAUGUGAAAGCCCGGGGCUCAACCUCGGAAUAGCAUUUGAAACUGGCAGACUAGAGUACUGUAGAGGGGGUAGAAUUUCAGGUGUAGCGGUGAAAUGCGUAGAGAUCUGAAGGAAUACCGGUGGCGAAGGCGGCCCCCUCGGACAGAUACUGACACUCAGAUGCGAAAGCGUGGGGAGCAAACAGGAUUAGAUACCCUGGUAG